GGUGAUACUGCAUUUCCCAUCCCAUCUGGGAUCAGUGUUUGUAAUAGAUUGGCUUUUAUGCCCAGCUCCCGAAGAGCAUUCUCAUUAUCUGAUAAGAGAAGCCGAUUUUCACUAGCCUUCCGAGGUCUGAUGAUGAGAGUACCCAUGUCAGAGGAUUGCUGUGAGGACCAAAUGUGAAUUAUGUGAGAAGCCUUUGGGUAGAUGCAAACCAAGAGUCAACUAAGAACAUAAGGAGCGGAAAUGUAUGGAAUUAGAAUGACUGCAUUACCUAGAAAGCAACCUAGCUGACUUUCUGAAUGAAUUGGUCGUCAACUAAUUUACUCUUAACCAGUACCCUUAUAGCUAACUGUAUUGCUUACAAGUCUCAAUUAGACCACAUGAAAUCUACCAAGUUGAAUUUCAUUUCUCUGUCUCAAUUUUUCACUUGCCAAUUGAAGAGAAACUUGACAGGGAUAUAAAGUACUUUGAAAUGUAAAUACAGCUAUAUAUAUUUUAAUUUUUUAUAUGUAUAAUAAACUAUAAAAUGCUACACAAAUAUCUUAAUAAAACUGUGUAUUUUCCUCUGAAAGAA